GAUGAAGAACGUAGUGAAAUGCGAUACUUGGUGUGAAUUGCAGAAUCCCGUGAACCAUCGAGUCUUUGAACGCAAGUUGCGCCCGAAGCCAUUAGGCCGAGGGCACGCCUGCCUGGGCGUCACACGUCGUUGCCCCCCCAUCUACUCCUUCGGGAUUGCGGGGGGCGGAUGAUGGCCUCCCGUGCGCCUUGUCGCGCGGUUGGCAUAAAUGCCAAGUCCUCGGCGACGCACGCCACGACAAUCGGUGGUUGCGAAACCUCGGUUGCCCGUCGUGUGCGGUCGUCGCGCAUCGAGGGCUCGAAAAAAUUGUCGGGCUCCGGCUCGGCUUUCAACGCGACCCCAGGUCAGGCGGGGUUACCCGCUGAAUUUAAGCAUAUCAAUAAGCGGAGGA
rnacentral:misc_RNA from 1 species